GUUACUGUGUGUAUGCAGCGCAGGGAGGGCUAGGGAAGCGGAAGCCUUGCUCUGUGCCGCCAUCAUAUGCAAAAAUACUACACUAUAUAUGUGGGUUAUUUCAAACCGGCUUGAUGGGGUUAAAGUCUUGAAAAUGUGCUGGCCAUUGUAAGAUUUGAAACCUCUGAUCUGAUAAUCUGAUAAUAUCCUCUAAGAAUGUUUUGAAGCAGACUAUACUGUGACUCACCACAGCAAACCUUGCCAGUGCAUGAUGCCAAUUGGAGAACCAUAAGUGCCAGCAUGCCCAGGAAUCCAGGGUUCAAUGGCUUCUACAAGAAAGAUAAUACACAAAUCAUCCCAAAAAUAUUUUUAAUAAACACUCCCCCACACACCCUUGUGUAAUCAUUUUUUUA